CGCAUCUGUGCAUGCAGCAUAUCAAUAAGCGGAGGAAAAGAAACUAACAAGGAUUCCCCUAGUAACGGCGAGUGAAGCGGGAAGAGCUCAAAUUUGAAAUCUUAAAGGGUUUCCCUUUACGAAUUGUAGUUUAAAGAAGUGUUUUCUGUUGAGGUUUUGGUAAAAGUUCUUUGGAAUAGGACAUCAUAGAGGGUGAGAAUCCCGUAUUUGACCUUUACUUUCAACUUUGUGAUACACUUUCAAAGAGUCGGAUUGUUUGGGAAUGCAGUCCAAAAUGGGUGGUAAAUUUCAUCUAAAGCUAAAUAUUGGCGAGAGACCGAUAGCGAACAAGUACCGUGAGGGAAAGAUGAAAAGAACUUUGAAAAGAGAGUUAAACAGUACGUGAAAUUGUCAAAAGGGAAGCGUUUGACACCAGUGUUGUUUUUCUGAAAAUCAAUUAAAGAACUGUUUAUGCUAAGUUGUUUAGACUUUAUCAGCUAUCUGUUUAGUUUUGAGCUUUUCUUUAAUGCACUCUUCAGUUAACAAGUCAACAUCAAUUUCUUUUGCUGUAAAAAAGCCUGAGGAAGGUGGCUUGAGAUUCGUCUUAAGUGUUUAUAGCCUCUUGCCUAUGCAGUCGGAGAGAUUGAGGUCUGCAGCGUAGAUCCUUCGGGGCUAAAUGCAUUUGUGCUAAGUUAUAACAUUUUAUAGACAACUUGUUGACUAUGAUUUGUCUUGUAGCUUACUCGCUUAUGUUAUUUUACCUACGCUUAGGAUGUUGACAGCAGUAUAGACUGU
rnacentral:rRNA from 1 species